rnacentral:rRNA from 1 species
UACGGAGGGUGCAAGCGUUAAUCGGAAUUACUGGGCGUAAAGCGCACGCAGGUGGCUGAGUCAGUCGAUUGUGAAAGCCCUGGGCUUAACCUGGGAAUUGCAGUCGAUACUACUCAGCUAGAGUAUGGGAGAGGGUAGUGGAAUUCCCGGUGUAGCGGUGAAAUGCGCAGAUAUCAGGAGGAACACCGGUGGCGAAGGCGGGUCUCUGGGCCGAUACUGACGCUGAGGAGCGAAAGCGUGGGGAGCGAACAGG